rnacentral:rRNA from 1 species
AGAGUUGUAUCCUGGCUCAGGAUGAACGCUGGCGGUAUGCUUUACACAUGCAAGUCGUACGAAAGUUUUUAACUUUAGUGGCGGACGGGUGAGUAACACGUAAGAAUUUACCUUUAGGAGGGGGACAACAACUGGAAACGGUUGCUAAUACCCCAUAUGGCUUUCGAGUGAAAUGGAAUUUUCCGCCUAAAGAGAAGCUUGCGGCUGAUUAGCUUGUUGGUGGGGUAAUGGCCUACCAAGGCGACGAUCAGUAUCUGGUUUGAGAGGACGAUCAGACACACUGGAACUGAGACACGGUCCAGACUCCUACGGGAGGCAGCAGUGGGGAAUUUUCCGCAAUGGGCGAAAGCCUGACGGAGCAAUACCGCGUGAGGGAUGACGGCCUAUGGGUUGUAAACCUCUUUUUUCAGGGAGGAAUAAGUGACGUGUACCUGAAGAAUAAGCAUCGGCUAACUCCGUGCCAGCAGCCGCGGUAAGACGGAGGAUGCAAGUGUUAUCCGGAAUCACUGGGCGUAAAGCGUCUGUAGGUGGUUUAAUAAGUCAACUGUUAAAUCUUGAGGCUCAACUUCAAAAUCGCAGUCGAAACUAUUAGACUAGAGUAUAGUAGGGGUAAAGGGAAUUUCCAGUGGAGCGGUGAAAUGCGUAGAGAUUGGAAAGAACACCGAUGGCGAAGGCACUUUACUGGGCUAUUACUGACACUCAGAGA